GAUGAACGCUGGCGGCGUGCCUAAUACAUGCAAGUCGAGCGAACAGACGAGGAGCUUGCUCCUCUGACGUUAGCGGCGGACGGGUGAGUAACACGUGGAUAAGCUACCUAUAAGACUGGGAUAACUUCGGGAAACCGGAGCUAAUACCGGAUAAUAUAUUGAACCGCAUGGUUCAAUAGUGAAAGACGGUUUUGCUGUCACUUAUAGAUGGAUCCGCGCCGCAUUAGCUAGUUGGUAAGGUAACGGCUUACCAAGGCGACGAUGCGUAGCCGACCUGAGAGGGUGAUCGGCCACACUGGAACUGAGACACGGUCCAGACUCCUACGGGAGGCAGCAGUAGGGAAUCUUCCGCAAUGGGCGAAAGCCUGACGGAGCAACGCCGCGUGAGUGAUGAAGGUCUUCGGAUCGUAAAACUCUGUUAUUAGGGAAGAACAAAUGUGUAAGUAACUAUGCACGUCUUGACGGUACCUAAUCAGAAAGCCACGGCUAACUACGUG
rnacentral:rRNA from 1 species